AUUGAACGCUGGCGGCAGGCCUAACACAUGCAAGUCGAGCGAGCGGCGGACGGGUGAGUAAUGUAUGGGGAUCUGCCCGAUAGAGGGGGAUAACUACUGGAAAGGUGGCUAAUACCGCAUACUAUUGGAGCGGCCGCUCUCGGAUUAGCUAGUUGGUGGGGUAACGGCUCAACAAGGCGACGAUCCGUAGCUGGUUGGAGAGGACGACCAGCCAAACUGGGACUGAGACACGGCCAAGACUCCUACGGGAGGCAGCAGUGGGGAAUUUUGGACAAUGGGGGAAACCCUGAUCCAGCCAUCCCGCGUGUGCGAUGAAGGCCUUCGGGUUGUAAAGCACUUUUGGCAGGAAAGCGGUACCUGCAGAAUAAGCACCGGCUAACUACGUGCCAGCAGCCGCGGUAAUUC
rnacentral:rRNA from 1 species